GGUGAAGCUGGUGUAUAGGCAACACGGCGGUUUGUGAGACCGCAGCAGAGGGUUCGAUUCCCUUCUUCACCC
rnacentral:tRNA from 1 species